UGGGUAGUUUGACUGGGGCGGUCGCCUCCUAAAGAGUAACGGAGGCGUACAAAGGUAAGCUCAAAUUGGAAAAAUAUCAAUUGAAGAGCGUAAUAGCAUAUGCUUGCUUGACUGUAAGAUUGACAAAUCAAGCAGGGACGAAAGUCGGUUAUAGUGAUCCGAUGGUAUUAAGUGGAAAAACCAUCGCUCAACGGAUAAAAGGUA
rnacentral:rRNA from 1 species